rnacentral:lncRNA from 1 species
CGAAAUCUAGUUUCGACAAGUUUACUAGCUUCAAAUUGUUGGAGCGGGUAGAAGAGAGAUGCAGAAUCAAUAGUAAUACCCUCCUAUUGGAAGAUGAGAUAUGAUUAUUAGGGAUAGUAUGGAGAAAAACUAUAAUUCCUCCAUGUAAAGCAAAAGAUCAAGAAAAGCAGUACUUGUCCAAGCUGAAAAUCAGUAAUCCGAGAGUACAGAGGAAAAAAAAUUCUAUGUAGCUAAACAGCUUGAGAAGCUAGUUUGAUGUGAAAAGAAAAAUAUAAGCGCCAAGAAAAGGAGCGAGAGCCGAAUGGAAAUGUUGAGUUAGGAGAUAGAUAUAUCUAUACAUGAGGCUGAGAGUUAGCUAGACUCAGAUUAGCAUUAUUAUAAUCUGGAUUGUUAAGAGUAACUGUAAUAAACAAGUAGAUUAUUAUGAUAGGUUAUUAUAAUAGAUAAGCCAGAUUAAUAUAAUCUAAUAAUCUCCUCUAG